UGUGUCUGAGCUCUGACUCUCCUUGUGUGGGUCUUUCUGUGGCUGUUGUGGGGGAUAGGGGUGAGAUGCCCAGGUUAAUGGAGUUGUGUACAUAGGAGGAUUAUGCUGCCUCUGCUGAGUCAUGCAGGUUGUCAGGGAAGUGGGGGAAAGCCGGCAGUCAUAGGCCUCACCCAGCUCCCAUGCAAACCAAAGAGCAGUUCUCAUGGAGCCUGUUUCCAGGUGGUGGGCAAGAUGGGCUUGAAAACUUGCCUCAGGCUACCUGCCUCUCAACUAUGGAAAAAAAGGGCUUGGUUCUUCCCCUGCCUGUGGAGUCUGCACAACAGAUUUGUGCCCUCCCAUGAGUUCUGGCCAGGAGGCUUCUCGCCCUGUUCAAAUUGUUACAAAGUUCAACUAUAGAUUUCUUUCUUCCUGUGGAGUUUCAACACCUGCUCCUCUGGCCACCCUCACAAUGGAUCCCUGUGGUGCCAAGCAGGAAUGGCCUGUUUGGGCACCCAGUGAGCUCCCAGGGCCUUUCUACUGCUUCCUCAAACCCUGUAUUUUGCUCAGCUCUCUAAAUGGAUUCAACUCCAGAGAAGACUAUCAAGUAGUUAGGAAAGAAAGUCAGUGAGAUGUCUCAGGCGUGACUCAGCUACGGAAACAAUAGCAAUCAGAGGACAUUUGGAGAUGAAGAAAAAAAAGAAACAAACUUCAAUACAAUGAGAAAUAUACCAGUACAUGUAUGACACUCAAGUAACAUAAUGAUCUUAAGGCUAAUUUACUACCUCCUUGUUGCCUGACAGGUCAGAACAAUUUGUUUAGAACAUGAAAUCUGCUAGUAACUAUGAGAUGUUGGAUGUGUCAUUAGCCUCUCAAAAGUCUCCAUUUCCAGGCCCAAAAAAUUACGAUGGGUAAAUACUUGAUGAAGUUGUUGUGUGUUUUAAUUGCAACUGAGGAUUAAUUACCAGCAAGCAUCAGUCACUACAUAUUUUUUAUUGAUCAUAUUCUGUGAGCUAGGCACUGUGCUAUUUUCUGUGCUAGAAUCACUUACUAUGAGACAGCCUGAGUAGAAUUUCCUCUACUGGACUUAUCUUCAACAAAGACAAUAAAAAUUGUCAUUAUUUUCAACAAAAAUCUGGAACUUAACCUGGAAACCUCACUUUUCUGUGCCAGGAGGUUUCAUGGGCUUUUCCCAUAGGCCAUUCGGGUUUAUCUAUGUGGACCUCAGUUUUCAUAUUCUUCACAACUUAUACUCAAGUUAGGGCCCUGGUACCUACACUUUAUGUAGCUAUAGAAGAGAGCAAUGAUAUUGGUCUUAUCUUACUAUGGAAGAAUUGCUAUAACCUCAUAUUCAUCUGCAAAUGUGGACAUUUGGAACAGUAAAGAAGCGAUGAACUAAAUUCUAAGCCAGGCAAAGGGAGUGUUACUACCCUGACCAAAAGAAUUUUUUUAACAUGGAGUCCCCAAGACAACGAUGGUGACUGACUCAAGACCUGGAACCAAACCCAGAACUUCACUUCCCUGUGCCAGAAGGAUUCCAGUGAGCUUUUCCCACAGGCCCUACAGUCUUCUCCAGAAUUUUGUGUAUUCACAACAACAUUUGCUGCAUUGGUACAGUGUGACAGAUACAGCACUGAGUACUGACAAACUGGGGAUAUAAUUAUUAAUGAAUAAAGGCAAAAGCAUGACACUUAAGGACA
rnacentral:lncRNA from 1 species